rnacentral:lncRNA from 1 species
GAUGGUUCGUCUCGACUCACAGUUGGUACCAAGUCGGUGUCUUAAUUGCAUUUUCCACUGCAGACAGUAAGAGGCGGACAUCAUCUUCAACGGGACACUCGCUGAAUCCUUUCUUCGGCAACCAAACAGGAACACUUCGUAAAUUGUACAGAUUACUUUUGCGGGCUGUCACUAUUGACAGUUGCUUGGCUAUCUAAAAAUGGUGGGUUUGUGCAGGAUGUCCCAUCACGAUUCUCUCUGACCAAUCAGUGGCCCGCAGUGUUUUAACUGCACCUUCUAGUAUCGGCUCAGCUCGCUUGGAACCUCAACCGAGGUGAUGGCACAUACAGUAGUUCAAUAACAGUAGUUCAAUAACAGUAGGUCCAUCCACAACUUUUGACAAUGGAAAACCAAAAAAGAAAGGUUCAAUUGCCAUGCAGUGGAAAUGCAGCAUCGGUCAUUUGGUCAUCCUGUAUGGAUCCAAGCAUUAAACUGCACAGCAAAAACUGGAGAGUUGACAUUUCAGGGUUAAACAUUUCUGAGUUGAUUUCAACUCACGUAGUGUUACUUUAACAUUUUCGGAUUCAAAUGGUGUUUAUUGUUGGAGUUAUUUAAGUGUUAAUCAUGUCAGAGUUAGACCAACUCUGCAGAGACGUGAUUAUGCUCCGCCCCUGCAUGUCACUGCUUCGGUUGGAGACGAGUCCACGACAAGUCAGCUCAAUUUUCUCUCCUCAUGCAGUUGACAGGGCUUAACAUCAGCGAGACCCCAAACAACUUGUCUCAACGUGCAUACAGUGGCUCACUUGUUGAACUUGUCUAGUUGUCCUAAAAAUGUUGGUCCAGGUGAAGUACAGACAACAGCACAAGUAUGUGAAAUUGGAUGCAGUUGAAGGACAGUUUGACUUUCUACAUUUCAAUGAAAAAGUCGUUGAGAGAUUUUGCCUGCCACCUGAUGCAAAGGUUGUAUACAAGGAUGCAACGGAGACAGAAGUUAAUACAGAAAUAUUCAGAGACCUCAUUGGACGAGGCAACGUGGUGCUGAGUUUUCUCAGAGUUCUCUGA